rnacentral:tRNA from 1 species
GGUUUGUGGCUCAGUGGUAGAGCACUGGUCUAGCAUGUGUGAGGCCCUGGGUUCAAUCCUCAGCACCA